GGAUCAGUACGCUGGUCGUGCCUUCGGUAUGCACUGGUGUCACUGAUUCCUCCCUUCUGAAGAACCGUAAUGCCAUUCAGUUGGUGUUGCGGGGAAUCAGGACUGUUACUUUGAAAAAAUUAGAGUGUUUAAAGCAGGCUUGCGCUUGAAUACAUUAGCAUGGAAUAAUGAAAUAGGACGUUUGAUCCUAUUUUGUUGGUUUCUAGGAUUGACGUA
rnacentral:rRNA from 1 species